rnacentral:rRNA from 1 species
UUAUAAGAGACAGCAGUCGCCACGGGAAUACAGAGGGUGCGAGCGUUAAUCGGAUUUACUGGGCGUAAAGCGUGCGUAGGCGGCUUUUUAAGUCGGAUGUGAAAUCCCUGAGCUUAACUUAGGAAUUGCAUUCGAUACUGGGAAGCUAGAGUAUGGGAGAGGAUGGUAGAAUUCCAGGUGUAGCGGUGAAAUGCGUAGAGAUCUGGAGGAAUACCGAUGGCGAAGGCAGCCAUCUGGCCUAAUACUGACGCUGAGGUACGAAAGCAUGGGGAGCAAACAGGAUUAGAUACCCCGGUAGUCCCUGUCUCUUAUAC